UAAUACGGAGGGGGCGAGCGUUGUCCGAAUUUACUGGGCGUAAAGCGCGCGUAGGCGGGGAGAUCAGUCGGUUGUGAAAGGCGGAGGCUUAACCUCCGGACUGCGACCGAUACUUUCUCUCUUGAGUGCGGGAGGGGGAAGCGGAAUUGCUGGUGUAGCGGUGAAAUGCGUAGAUAUCAGCAGGAACGCCGGUGGCGAAGGCGGCUUCCUGGACCGUAACUGACGCUGAGGCGCGAAAGCCAGGGGAGCGAACGGGAUUAGAUACCCCGGUAGUCCUGGCCGUAAACGAUGGAUACUAGGUGUUGGGGGUAUCGACCCCUCCAGCGCCGCAGCUAACGCACUAAGUAUCCCGCCUGGGGAGUACGGCCGCAAGGUUG
rnacentral:rRNA from 1 species